ACCAAGAGGUUGUUCUGUGCCAGGCAUGGGGAGGGAGCUGUGAGUAGAACUCAGCUGGUCCUGUCCUCAGAGUCUAUACACUGAAAACAGUCUUCCUUUUUUUUUUUUUUAAACAAUUGAGGCGAUUUAGACUCAGAUUAAAAUAACUCAGUUAAGGACUAACAGAAGCCCUGGCAACCCUAGGGUUUUGAAUCCUAAGACUAGGUCAGUUGUUGUCAUGACACCACAUAGGUCCCUAAUGGACCUGAUUGUAAAGCUCAUCCAGGUGCUUCUAAUAAUGUGCUUUCUUUAGGCCCACCCUGUACUUUGGGAAUCAGAAUCUCUAGGGAGGAGGCCCGGAAAUCCAUACUUUAAAACCAGCAUCCCCAAGUAGGUCUCAAGAUCAGAUGCUGCCGAUGGGUGACCUGGGCCAAGAAUAACCCAGCCCCCAAAGAGACAGCGCCAACUGGAAUACAGUUAAAGGGGACCGCUCCAUUUGAACAUCUAGAAGUGGACUUCACUGAGUUAAAGUUGCAGGUAAGUCCAUGGAUUUACCAUACUCAGCUCAAGAUAGCAGCGGAGGAAAAAGGACACUGGACCAGUCAUACUAACCCAGAGGAACCACUGAAGAUCCGACUCAUCUUCUGUUGACGACUACAGAUCCAGGAUGGAACCACUGCAGAUGAUUCUGCUGUUCCUGAUUAGCAUGACCACCCUACCAGGACUGCAAACUCAGGAUAAUGUGUUCCUGUCCUGGGCCCACUCAUAUGCGAACUUCCAUAACACUUCUAACUGUUGGGUUUGUGGGGCCAUGCCUUUGUCAGUGAUGGUUGGACUUCCUUGGUGGGAGUCUCCCCUCCGCAGAGGGGACUUUUGCCCCCUCUGUUCCUUUUUGAGACAACAACGAGAAACGUUUCUUUCUUUGGUAACUCAUAACCUGUCACUUCUUUCUUGGUGCAAACUGGACUCUAAUCUGACCAUGGGGUGACAUCUGAAGUAAAUGCAAGCUUUAUAAAGUAACAAAAGCCUAUACUUUUCACUUAAAAAAAAAAAAAAGGUAAGAACUCUAUGGCCAGUAAAAAGGACCAAUCCAUCAGGUACUUUGAACAAUUUUACCAGAUAUGGGAUGAGUAUUUUUGGAUGACUCCAGAAAAAGGCCAGACUAUUGUCCCUGCCCCUAUCUGUUGGGAGCAAAGGGACAGACUAUUGGAUUUGGUGACUGUCCCAUAGGUCCAAAAUAAUUAAAAUAUGUGGGAUACUUGUUCUCAGCCCAUGUGGUCACGAAGAGUCAGACAUGACUGAGCGACUAACACACACACACUCCAGAGAUUACAGAAAUAUUUUGGCUGACAGUCUCAUUUAGGGGGUGGAAUUAUUCACUGCAUCAAGCCUUUAUAGGAAAAAGUAGUGAUAAGAAGUGAUCACUGCAAUCAGUGAAUAUGAAGAAAAAUAAUAAGAGGCCUUUCUGCAUCCACUGGACACUAUUUUGCUAAAACCUUGGAAUAUGUAAACAAAUAUUAGAGGUCACCUAUUGCCCAGAUUUACCAGCUCACUGGCCUGGCUCAGACUGGAGGAACAACCCUGGGAUCCGAUGGGUGGCCCCUAAAGGCACCUAAUGGCUGUGUGGAUCGAAUUUAUGACCUUGGCUUCCAGUUGGUUGGGUCAGCCGCUGCACUUUAGGAUUUGCCUUUGCUCAUGAACAUAUUAAGCCAUCCUUACAACAAGCCGUGGUAACUUUGCCUUAUUUGCAUGCAUGGUGGGCAAGGUUCAUGUUUCAAUGGUAUGAUUACAUAGCUGUCUUGUUCGUACCAUCUAUAAGAACAACAGAUAUUAUGAUUAAAGUAGAAGCUCUAACUAACUUUAUGAAACACACAAAGGCAAUCCAAGGCAAAGGCAAUUAUGCAAAGGCAGUCCAAGCUUUAAAUGAAGAACAAAUACAAAUGAGAAAGGCAGUGAUUCAAAAUCGGAUGGCUUUAGACAUACUUACAGCUGCCCAAGGAGGGACUUAUGCUAUAAUUAAAGUUGAAUGUUGUGUAUAUAUUCCUGAUUUAUCUGGCAAUGUAUCAGCCACUCUAGAUGACAUGAAAAACCAGGUAAAAGCUAUGUCUAAUGAUAAUCCUCCUUUUUGGACAUCAGUAUUUUCUUGGAUCAAAGGUGAUUGAUGGAAAAAUCUUUUUGUAACUAUUUUGUUAAUCAUUAUAUUAAUUUUUGGGCCUUGUAUUCUCCAGUGUAUAGCUCAAUGUGUAACCUCCAGACUGACAGCCCUGCUGCAGUUAUGUAGUCUCUGUGUACAACACAUACCCAAGACUGAUCCCCAUCAUUAAAGAUAAGAUGAGCAUCAGGAGGGGGGAAUGUUAGGGCCAGUGUGGGAGAAGCAAGAGAGACUCCAUCUUGAAGCCUGUCAUCCAUCCUAAAGACAAGAUGUGAAAUGGGCAUGAACUUUGCCCAAGAGUGAGGAAACAGUUGCUAAUGAAAACCAGGUCUCCUGGAGACAUCCCUCCCUACAGAUGACAGACGGACAUUGUAGUUGAGCUCAGGCUGCCCCUGUUAGAUUAACCAAGGAGACAUCCCCCCUUGAUGGAUAAUCAUUGUUUCCCCCCUUUAACCUUAACUGUUUGUUCUCCUAGCACCUAUUUGUUGUAAAACUCAGUCAUAUACAACAGAGAGGUUGCUAACAUGUAACCUGUCACAUAGCAGGGGGUAUAAAACUGGGCCUCUCAGAAACAUCAGGGUCCUUAUUGGGAACUGAUUCCCCUUGGACCCUCUGGCAUAAUAAACUGUA